rnacentral:miRNA from 1 species
UUCCUCAUUGACCGGAAGGACUCUCCUUCGGUCAAUGAGGAAGCUAAACCUCAUCAACCAGAAGGAAUUCCUUCCGGUUGAUGAGUUCAAUCUUCCUCAUCAACCGGAAGGGAUCCCUUCCGGUCAAUGAGGGA